AUUGAACGCUGGCGGCAGGCCUAACACAUGCAAGUCGAAUGGUAACAGGAAACAGCUUGCUGUUUCGCUGACGAGUGGCGGACGGGUGAGUAAUGUCUGGGAAACUGCCUGAUGGAGGGGGAUAACUACUGGAAACGGUAGCUAAUACCGCAUAACGUCGCAAGACCAAAGAGGGGGACCUUCGGGCCUCUUGCCAUCAGAUGUGCCCAGAUGGGAUUAGCUAGUAGGUGGGGUAACGGCUCACCUAGGCGACGAUCCCUAGCUGGUCUGAGAGGAUGACCAGCCACACUGGAACUGAGACACGGUCCAGACUCCUACGGGAGGCAGCAGUGGGGAAUAUGGCACAAUGGGCGCAAGCCUGAUGCAGCCAUGCCGCGUGUAUGAAGAAGGCCUUCGGGUUGUAAAGUACUUUCAGCGGGGAGGAAGGGAGUAAAGUUAAUACCUUUGCUCAUUGACGUUACCCGCAGAAGAAGCACCGGCUAACUCCGUG
rnacentral:rRNA from 1 species